rnacentral:misc_RNA from 1 species
GUGAAUCAUCAAAUUUUUGAACGCAAAUUGCACUCUCUGGUAAUCCGGUGAGUAUGUCUGUUUGAGGGUCAGUUUAAAUAAAAUCCGGGGUGUUUGCUGCCUUUCUUGGUGACGCACCGGAUUUGGGUCGUCUCUCCUUCGGUUAAGUGACCUAAAAUUUUGCAUUAUUUUUCUCGAACGUAUUUAAAUGAUUUUACUUACGUUGGCGAUAUCGAACACUUUGUGUGGUCCU